rnacentral:rRNA from 1 species
GCUAGGAUGAACGCUGGCGGCGUGCCUAAUACAUGCAAGUCGAGCGAGAAUCAGUUGAUCGGAGAUUCGUCAAAGUGAAGCUGAGGAAAGCGGCGACGGGUGAGUAACGCGUAGGCAACCUGCCCUUAGCAGAGGGAUAGCCAUUGGAAACGAUGAUUAAAACCUCAUAAUGCUGUUUCAACACAUGUUGGAGCAGCCAAAGAUUUAUCGGCUAAGGAUGGGCCUGCGUCUGAUUAACUAGUUGGUGAGGUAACGGCCCACCAAGGUGACGAUCAGUAGCCGACCUGAGAGGGUGAUCGGCCACAUUGGAACUGAGACACGGUCCAAACUUCUACGGAAGGCAGCAGUAAGGAAUCUUGCACAAUGGGGGAAACCCUGAUGCAGCAACGCCGCGUGAACGAUGAAGGCCUUAGGGUUGUAAAGUUCUGAUCUGUGGGAAGAAGAAGUGACGGUACCACAGGAGAAAGCCCCGGCUAAAUACGUGCCAGCCGCCGC